UACGAAGGGGGCUAGCGUUGCUCGGAAUCACUGGGCGUAAAGCGCACGUAGGCGGACUCUUAAGUCAGGGGUGAAAUCCUGGAGCUCAACUCCAGAACUGCCUUUGAUACUGAGGAUCUUGAGUUCGGGAGAGGUGAGUGGAGCUGCGAGUGUAGAGGUGAAAUUCGUAGAUAUUCGCAAGAACACCAGUGGCGAAGGCGGCUCACUGGCCCGAUACUGACGCUGAGGCACGAAAGCGUGGGGAGCAAACAGG
rnacentral:rRNA from 1 species